GCAGGACGUCUGUGUUUGUCCCGAUGGGAGGCGCUGGAGCUACGCGCUCUAGCCUUUCCGCUAUUGUCACCAGAGGCUGGAGCGCCUGCGCCUGCUGUUGUGUUCUGCAAUUCCCAGCCCUCGGCCGGCCGUUCUCUGCCUCUUCUCCAGACUGCUUCCUAAGCUCUCCCUCCCUCCUCGUAACUAGAACCGAGGAGGAAACAAACUUGGACGUGGAUGAAGUUAGAGUUUUGGUGAGAGGAAAGUGGUUGUCUACCGCGGCCACCUUUGGGCUCCAGGUGGUUGCUUGGCCUGAGCUCCUUCCGCUGGCUGGGAUGAGAAAUGUAGUAUUGACUCCGUCUGGCGCUUGCCAUGGGAACCUUACCCAGCCAUAUUGGAGCGAAGAGCAAACUCAGCGGCCCUUGACUAUUAGAUAAGCAGAUCUUGUUUUGUGUACAAAUCCCAGUUGAAAAGCAUUAUCAUUUUGUUUCCUCCAUUAUAGCACCCCCGACCAGCACUUUGUCCUUUGUUCCACACACUUCGGGAAGGAAUCAGACAUCCCAAGCAUUUUGGAUAUACAUGUGUACAUAUAUAUGUUAAUUAUAAAACCAAUGGCAAUUUAACGGAAUAAUGUACAAUACCAUACCUUGGCUUCUACCUUGGAAAACCACAUGCACAGCAUGUUCAUUGACCACAUUAUUGAUUAUAAUGGCUAGAAGCUGAUAUUCAGCAGGGGCCCAGGCAGGACAAAUCGUGGAACAGGGAUAAACGAGGAAACACGCUACAGCAGUUAUUGUGACUGUUAUGACUAAUGAAUGGUAUGUGAUAAUAACAACACUGCACAGAACAUUACUGGAUGCUUUCUACAAGGAUGCACAUAAGGAAUGGCAGCCACAGAACAUCUGGUUGCUGUUUCUGGUGAUGGUGAACCCUUUGCUAUCGGUGCACUGGCUCUUUUGCUGAAAUGGGAGAUUGCACUGUAAGAUGUACAGAUCAACAGUUUUUAGUAUGUUACAGUUAUCUGACCACAACUACAGUCUAGUACUUCAAUAUUUCUACUCCCUCCAUCCCCACCCUGCCCUCACCAUGUGCACCCCAAUACUGCUCAGUCUCUAACUUGUCCUUCUGCUAAGGGAAGCGACUACUUUAUGAAUCCAUAAUCUGCUUAUUCUAGAUAUUCAUAUGACUGGAAUCUAAUAGAAGGUGACCUUCUGGGGCUGCAGAGAUGGCUCAGUGGUUAAGAGCACUGGCUGCUCUUCCAGAGGACCUGGGUCCAAUUCUUGUCCCCUCAAGGUGGCUCACAACCAUCUGUAACUUCAGUCCCAGAGAAUCCAAUGCCCUCAUCUGCAUGCACAUGACACAUAGAUAAAUAGAAGCAAAACACCUAUACACAUAAGAUUAAAAGGGGGAAUUUAAGGUGGUCUCCUGUGUAAUUGUUAUUUGCGUGUUUGC
rnacentral:lncRNA from 1 species